GGAAUAUUGGUCAAUGGACGGAAGUCUGAACCAGCCAUGCCGCGUGAAGGAAGACGGCCCUAUGGGUUGUAAACUUCUUUUAGCCGGGAGUAAUAAGGCGCACGGGCUGCGCCGAUGAAAGUACCGGCGGAAUAAGCAUCGGCUAACUCCGUGCCAGCAGCCGCGGUAAUACGGAGGAUGCAAGCGUUAUCCGGAUUUAUUGGGUUUAAAGGGUGCGUAGGCGGGCGCGUAAGUCAGCGGUGAAAUACCCCUGCUCAACAGGGGGGCUGCCGUUGAUACUGCGUGUCUAGAGUGCGAACGGCGCCGGCGGAAUGUGUCAUGUAGCGGUGAAAUGCAUAGAGAUGACACAGAACACCGAUCGCGAAGGCAGCUGGCGAGCACGACACUGACGCUGAGGCACGAAGGUGCGGGGAUCGAACA
rnacentral:rRNA from 1 species